UCUCCUCUGGGCAGGGACCUCAGCCCUGACUUUGAGAGGCACUGGUGGAGGCUCUCAGGAUCCUGAGUGUCAGUCCAGCCCUCUCAGAAUCUCAAAUGAAAACACGUGCCCACCUAUUUCUGCUGAUGGACAAACAGUAUUUACCCCAGGAUCCAGCACCAGGUCAUUUCCACUCAGAACUCUUGGGAAGUUGAUACCAACAGACAACUGCCUUUGCUGAGUUAUAACCAAAAAGGAGCAAGUCCCCUUCAAGCACUGAAAGGCUGCUCUAAGUCUCCCUGGGACCUUUUCCAGGCUGAACAAGCCCAACUCUCUCAGCCUUUCUUCUCAGAAGAAGUGUUCUAUCCCUUGGAGCAUUUUUGUGCUCGUUCAUCCCCCAGCCUAUGUUCACACCAGGGGUUGCCCUGAACCAGCUGCAGGACCCUGGACUUGGCCUUGUUGAAACCCCACGGGCCACUUCUGGAGCUUGUCCAUGUCCCUCUGGAUGCCACCCCAUCCUUCAGGAGUGUCAACUGCACCACUCAGCUUGGUGUCACCCGUGAAUUUGCUGAACUGCACUUGGUCCCACUAGGGACCCCCAAGGGACACCACCUGUCACCCAUGUCCCAUCUGAACACUGAGUCUCCCACCACUCUGUUUGUCACCAUCAUUCCUCCUUCACUGAGCACUCCAGCCAUCAAAUCCAUCUCUCCAAUUUAGAGAGAAAGAUCUUGACCCUCAGAAUGUUUUUCUAUUGGAUUACCAGUCUUCGGUUCCAUUCCCAGAGCCCAGUGCAAACUAGCAAGAUAUGCAGAAUAAUCCAGACUCAUGAAAGGUCCAGCUCCACUCUCAUUGAUGUCAGUAGCAAAAAUUCCAACAGCAAAUGUCCUAAAACAUCUAAACACAGGCUUAAUCUAAAACACAUGAAAGCACAUAUGUAUAAGAGUUUGCUGGAUCGACACCUCAGGGAGAGAAGGAGCAGGCCCUACCAGAAAUGCUCAGAGCUGCAGUGAAAGCAGCAACACUCAAACAAAUAUGGGCUGAUUUACAGACCCUUCUUCUGUGCUCAGCUGCAUUCUCUUGGUAAGCAUGUCCAAUGCCUUCAGCAGUAAGGUUCUCCAUCACCACAUAUGCUUGGACAUUCAGAGCUUUUCUUAUUUAUGCUAUUAUUUUCUAAUUCACAUUAUUUGUAUUACCCAGCUCUGUUAAAGUGGGUAGCAGACAGUGGGAUGGUCCCAAUGCAGUGAUAAACUCAGGAUAAACAUGGCAGGUGGAAAAAUACACCAGCAAAGAGAAUGAUGUGACUGCAGUACUCAGAUUUUCAAGGCUGUUGGUGAAACAGGAAUUCCAUUCAGGAGGAAAGCAGAGGAGACAAGAACCUUGCCACAAGUGAUGAGAAGAGAGGAAGCUGAAGAUGAAAGGUCUCAAAGGAAGGGAGGAAUGGAGCUGGUGCAAAGUGCUGAGCAGGGUGGGGCUGAGAAUCUACUCCGAGCUGCAGGAAGAGCUGCACUUUGAAGGACACCUUUACCAGCUCCCUGAUUCCUGGAUCUGCUGACUGUAUCUCUCCCAGUUUGUCCCUGCUGAAAUCCACAUAUGGAAACAGCUUCCCUGAAGCGGUGCAACAACUACAACUGGGCUGCUGUUGUUAAGACAACUUUGUAAGGUAGUUCUUGGGUUUAACUGCUACUCACCAACCCUUUUCACCCUUCCACCUACUCUUACUACUUGGAGUGUGUUUCCAUUUACAUUUAUACUAGAUAAAACUACUCUAGGAAAAAUGGGGUACUCAUUCUCCUUCUUCAAUACCCUCCAGGAAGAUCCAGCCAUCCACAAGUGUCUCAGCUUCGACUACAAAGAACAAAUGUUCAGUUUUGAAAGGGCUUCAGGAUGGCAAGAGCUAUUUUAUCAACUGAGAAGGCCACUUAUGGGAUCUCCCAGACAUCUGGCCCCAAUCUGUCACUGCUUAAUCCUACAAUCCUAAACAUUUUGUGGACGUUUGAUGCCUGGGAUAAGUGUAACAAAUGCUGCAUGAUCCUCAAAGUCUGUAAAUGUCAACAGAGCUCUUAAACAAGUUUGAUCAAUAAAAAUAAUAAUUAUAUUGCAA